rnacentral:rRNA from 1 species
AUUGAACGCUGGCGGCAGGCCUAACACAUGCAAGUCGAGCGAGCGGCGGACGGGUGAGUAAUGUAUGGGGACUGCCCGAUAGAGGGGGAUAACUACUGGAAACGGUAGCUAAUACCGCAUACUAUCGGAUAACCCAUAUGGGAUUAGCUAGUAGGUGAGGUAAUGGCUCACCUAGGCGACGAUCCCUAGCUGGUCUGGGAGGAUGAUCAGCCACACUGGGACGUAGACAGGGCCAAGACUCCGACGGAGGCAGCAGUGGGGAAUAGUGCACCAUGGGCGCAAGCCUGAUGCAGCCAUGCCGCGUGUAUGAAGAAGGCCCUAGGGUUGUAAAGUACUUGCAGUCGGGAGGCGUUACCGACAGAAGAAGCACCGGCUAACUCCGUGCCAGCAGCCGCGGUAAUUC